AGCCACCAGUGUGGAUUGAACUCACAGUCCCUGAUUUACAAAACCAGACCACUAACGACUGAGCUAUGACGGC